rnacentral:misc_RNA from 1 species
CCGAGUUUACAACUCCCAAACCCCUGUGAACUUAUACCUUUACUGUUGCUUCGGCGGGACAUUGCCCCGGGGAGUCAGGUGCCGUCAGGUCCCUGCCCACCCGGAAACAGGCGCCCGCCGGGGGACUCAAACUCUUCUGUAUUUUUUUUUGUUUUACUGUAUACCGUCUGAGUAAAAAAUUCAUAAUGAAUCA